UUGAUGUGACCUUCAAAUGAUAUAUUUAUACUGCUUGUAGCAAUCAUAUUGUACAAAUGAACAACAUUAUAAAUUUCACAUUUCUUCUUUUAUUAUCUUUUACCUCUUUCUAUCAAAUAACAAUUUUUAUUAUCAAAUGCCAUUUUCUACAAGUUAUUCUGUUACAGUUUGUUUACUAAGGACUGAAAGCCAUACUCUACAUACAUAACAGUAGGCAUAUUUAUAUUCAUUAAUAACUUUCCACACGUGUGUAAAUACGCCUAUACAGUACAUACAUCCCUUCUUUUUUAUGAUCCCUGAUAAGGGGAAAUUAAACUAAAUUAGGUUUUAAUUUGUAGAUUUUUUUUAUGUACUGUCUGUUGUACGGCUAGAAUUGGUAUUAAAAUCUAAAAUUUCAAAAAAUCUAAUAUCUCUCAGAGAUGGAGAAAUACUGUGUCUGACUUGCUGAAGUCAACUACAAA
rnacentral:lncRNA from 1 species